AUGACAAUUUUAUUGAUUUUUAAUUGCAUCAAGGCAUUGUAUGUGAAGAAAUUAUUGAAGCAGCAUAUAAAGAGGCAAUGAGGUCAUGUACAAAUAGGCGACGCUCACGUAAUUGGGCUUCGCAGUUCAAACGCUUGUUCAUCCCCGUCCUGCUCUCGAGCAAGAGCGCUGAAUGUCACAGAUUAAGCGCUCUGAAGAAACCCUAGCUGUGGAGAUGAUUACAAGGGAAACCACUGAAGAAAAUUCGUGCAAAUCCAAUACUAGAACCAGCAAGAGUCCGAGGGAGAAAGCUGCGAGAAGACCCACUAAGAUGAUGAAGACAGCCACGAGAAGGACGCAGGCUAUGAGAGAGCCAUGGAGAAGCGCAAGAAGGAUGAGUUCUAUGUUGGGUAACAUAUCUGGGACAUCAAUGGAAAUGAAAGUAGUUCAGAGAAAUGGAAACGGACAAUAAGCUACUCUCUUACAUUCUGUUCUUCGAAUAGCAAUUAACCACCUUCGGACUCUUGGCAGUUUGUACAGAGGUAAAUCAAACAAACUAUGAAGCAUUUUAUUCGGCAACAUACUUCCUGUUUAAAAGUGUUCUGGGCAUUAAAAAAAUAUAUCCUCUCCUUGAUAAAGUCUAGGAGGGAUAGCUUCUAGCGGACUUGUGCUUCCAUGCAAGCAAAGCAAAUGCCUUGCAAACGAGGGAGCUCAUUUAAGAAACCAGCUUGGUGGUAAUUCUG